CCUAAAUAAAUACAUACACAUACAAGAUUUAACCAACGUUUGAGUAAGUUGCACAUGAGCGUGUCAGCAAAUUAAAAAAGAAAAAAAAUCGGCAAAUUUUUCGGUUAACCAGCAGCCGGACCGUCUUCCGAGAUGAGAAACUGUUUUUUAUCAUUGGCCAGCAACGUCGCGUUCCCUGAGGCAUUGGAGAAGAAAAAAAACGGAAACGCCGGGAAGCUAAAAUUGGUCGGGAAACAACCGACUUUUCCCUAGUGCAUCAAGUCUUACCAGGAAAUCCAAAUUAAUUCGGCCACUGAAACGGUGGAGUGGAGUGGCUGCGAGUUUCAGAAUUUUGAUUCGGGAGAUUUUGCGCAUAGUUGUUGGAGCCUGGAGUUUAAUUUCGCCGGAUGUCCUCAGAGGUAUUCGUUUUUUCGUCAAUUCCGACGUCUGAUCUACGCUCGAGGAAAACUUCUACCCAUCUUCCUGCCAAUCAAAUCCAUCGAUAAAAAGCACCAGUGAGUCACCCCCGGAGUGUCGUGUAUCAGAAUGGUCAAUCCUCUUCUGAUGCGGCAGCUUUUUAGGACGCCUUCUGGGAACGACUUUUUAAACUCCAAAUCAUGCAUCUCCAACAGCAGACAGAGAAAUCAGGAUAUAAAUAUUGGUACUUCUAGCCAGCUCUUCCGGGAUCGAAGCGGCGAACAAAAAAUGGAUGCUUAAACAAACUA